UUUUUAAUAUAAGUAUCUCACAUGCAAUACUUGGGAUAUACUUAUACUAAAA
rnacentral:pre_miRNA from 1 species